AGUUGAUCAUGGCUCAGGAUGAACGCUAGCUACAGGCUUAACACAUGCAAGUCGAGGGGCAGCAUGGCGAUAGCUUGCUAUCGCCGAUGGCGACCGGCGCACGGGUGAGUAACGCGUAUCCAACCUUCCCCUUAGUAGGGCAUAGCCCGUAGAAAUGCGGAUUAAUACCCUAUGUAGUUCGUAGAGGGCAUCUGAAGUGAACCAAAGGUUUACCGCUAAGGGAUGGGGAUGCGUCUGAUUAGGCAGCAGGCGGGGUAACGGCCCACCUGGCCUACGAUCAGUAGGGGUUCUGAGAGGAAGGUCCCCCACAUUGGAACUGAGACACGGUCCAAACUCCUACGGGAGGCAGCAGUGAGGAAUAUUGGUCAAUGGACGAGAGUCUGAACCAGCCAAGUAGCGUGCCAGGAUGACGGCCCUAUGGGUUGUAAACUGCUUUUAUGCGGGGAUAAAGUGAGGGACGUGUCCCUUAUUGCAGGUACCGCAUGAAUAAGGACCGGCUAAUUCCGUGCCAGCCGCCGC
rnacentral:rRNA from 1 species